rnacentral:rRNA from 1 species
UACGAAGGGGGCUAGCGUUGCUCGGAAUUACUGGGCGUAAAGGGCGCGUAGGCGGGUACUUAAGUCAGAGGUCAAAUCCCAGGGCUCAACCCUGGAACUGCCUUUGAUACUGGGUACCUAGAGUUCGGGAGAGGUGUGUGGAACUCCGAGUGUAGAGGUGAAAUUCGUAGAUAUUCGGAAGAACACCAGUGGCGAAGGCGACACACUGGCCCGAUACUGACGCUGAGGCGCGAAAGCGUGGGGAGCAAACAGG